rnacentral:lncRNA from 1 species
CCACCGGACUCCCCCUAGGCGUUUGCUGUGUGGUUAUUAUUUUUUCUUUUUCCAAAAAGCUCUGCCAUCUGUCAUUUGCAUGUUUAAAAAAAAAGUUUUCCCCAUCAAAAA